AGCGAACGCUGGCGGCAGGCCUAACACAUGCAAGUCGAGCGGCCGUAGCAAUACGGCAGCGGCAGACGGGAGAGUAACACGUGGGAACGUGCCCUUUGGUUCGGAAUAACGCAGGGAAACUUGCGCUAAUACCGGGUAAGCCCUUACGGGGAAAGAUUUAUCGCCAAUGGAGCGGCCCGCGUCUGAUUAGCUAGUUGGUGAGGUAACGGCUCACCAAGGCGACGAUCAGUAGCNGGUCGUGAGAGGAGUGAUCAGCCUCCACUGGGACGUG
rnacentral:rRNA from 1 species